GGCGGAUGUAGCCAAGUGGCUCAAG
rnacentral:tRNA from 2 species